rnacentral:rRNA from 1 species
GAUAAGAUUUCCCUAGGAAUUUAUUCCUCUAAAGAGCCGUUCGAGACUAGGACGUUGAUAGGUUGGAUGUGGAAGCAUAGUGAUAUGUGAAGCUGACCAAUACUAAUUGCUCGUGAGGCUUGACUAUACAACACCCAAGCAGUUG